rnacentral:piRNA from 2 species
UGUAUUGCGAAAACACUUGUUGGCUUAUUUC